UCUGGUGACUAUAGCAAGGAGGUCACACCUGUUCCCAUGCCGAACACAGAAGUUAAGCUCCUUAGCGUCGAUGGUAGUCGAACU
rnacentral:rRNA from 2 species